GUUUUGCCUGAGGGAGCAGCAGCCCUCUCCUGCUGUUUGGCACAAUUCAUCUCGUGUGAUGAGCUUACUUUCGGCCCUGUCCUAAGAAACUACAAUAUUUGACGCCCGAACAGGGACCUGAAGGAGCUGAAUCCUAUUGGGUGCCAGCUAAGAAGAUAAAGCUUCGGGAUGGCAACUAAGCGUAGCCUUGUGACGGGAAUGACGAAGGGAUGUGCGGAGAUGGAUUUGAGCAAGAGAGCAUUCCGUGUGCCGUUGGAUCAAAGAAAGAGGGCGUCUCAAUUGACUUGGGGGCAAAUGAAAAAGUUUGCAGGCACUGCUGAAGAUCCUGUUAUUUCACAGGGUAAACCCCUCACUAGCACCAAUCUUUUUGUAGCUAUAUUGGCAAUGUUGUCUGCACAGUUCGACGACGAGUGAUAGCUACCCGCCAUGCAACAUCGCAACAAGCUGCUGUGUUUUCCUUGAUGCUGCACAAGCUGCAAAAUAAUUCCAUGUAGUUUAGUACCGAGAGUAAUGCUGCCGUGUUCUCCUUGAUGCUACAAAAAUUAUAAAACAAAAAGGGGGAAAUGUAGCGGGAUAACUGAGGACAUGGAAAGGAGACAUGACCCAUGAACCCCCCACCAGCAAACUGAGGGCUGGCGAAUAAGCCAGAACUGCAAACAGUCCUGAUUGCUUUGAGCCGCACCCCCGGCAAACCGGGGGCAUGCAAAUAAGCCAGAGUUGUGAACAGUUCUGAAUGCUUCGAGCGCCCCCCCCGGCAAACCGGGUGCCUGCAAAAGAGGCACUGACUGCUUUGGGCACUGAUCCAUGAGAUGUCCUCAGUAUAAUCAGAGUGGUGGGAACACAAGGAAAUGUCCUUGUGCUACUUCAGUAUAAUCAAAAUAAUGGUGGGAACUUUGUGCUGUUCUUGCGCUCAAGGACGAAGCACGGCAGGUGCUCACAAAAGCCAAUUACUGCUUGUAUAAUUAAUAAAAACAUAGGUUGCUGCUUUGGCACUUCUGAAAUGUUAAGAAAACAAGUCUUAAAGUGUAAAU